rnacentral:tRNA from 1 species
GCCGGGCUAGCUCAAUCGGUAGAGCGUGAGACUCUUAUCAUCAACGCAUGAAUCAGAGAUUCAUCUGAAGGUUGCGGGUUCGACCCCGCGUUGGGCU